UACGUAGGAGGCAAGCGUUGUCCGGAAUUACUGGGCGUAAAGCGCGUGUAGGUGGUGGGACAAGUCUGCUGUGAAAGCGCCUGGCUUAACCGGGCGAGGUCGGCGGAAACUGUCCGACUCGAGGACGGUAGAGGGGGGUGGAAUUCCCGGUGUAGUGGUGAAAUGCGUAGAGAUCGGGAGGAACACCUGUGGCGAAGGCGGCAUCCUGGACCGGCAUUGACGCUGAGGCGCGAAAGCUGGGGGGAGCGAACGGGG
rnacentral:rRNA from 1 species